rnacentral:lncRNA from 1 species
CUUGGGGCUCAAACUAUGUGAGUAGCUCCUCCUAGAACUUUUCCUUAACCGAGAUGGUGUAGGGCUUCCAGAAGCAGAGCGGUAACGAUAACUUCUACAGUCAGCUGAAUCAUAGGACCGGUCACGCCUUCUAUAGUAUCGAUCAUCAGGUGAGUAGGAACGGUCCCGCCUUCUGUAGUAUCGAUCGUCAGGUGAGUAGGAACGAUCCCACCUUCUGUAGUACCGAUCAUCAGGUGCAUAAGAACGGUCCCGCCUUCUACAGUAUCCAUCAUCAGGUGAGUAGGAACGGUUCCGCCUGCGGUAGUAACAGUCCUCGGGAGUGUAAGAUCUAUCACGCCUUCUGUAGUAUCGAUCAUCAGGAGAGUAGGAACGGUCCCAUCUUCUAUAGUAGCGGUCAUCUGACGAUCCGCUGUAAGGGGAGGGAGCACGGGAGUACGACCUGUGCCGAGGGGAGUAAGAUCUACUCCUACCCUUACCAGAUGAAUAACGAGGAGACCGACUCUGACUUC